CAUCAUUAAUCCAAUGCCACAGAAAUACGAAUUCUUACUUUUCAACAAAUUUUGGUGACAACUUGUCUACCAAGGAAAGGAAAGCAACACCUAUAAGGAAACUUUUGAUUUGUCAUCAUGUAUGUAUAUUUAAACUUACUUAAAAUAGUAUAAUUUAUAAUGGGCUUAAUUUACAUUUUUCCCCUAAAAGUUCAAGAACAUCUCAAUGAUCGUAGUGUUCCGAAGACUAAUGAGUCCCUAUUUAUGUCAGAGAAAACAGAAGCUCAGAGAGAUAAAGACUAUUGGCAAGGAUCAUACUGCAAGUUUAGCAAUAUACUCAGUGCAGUCAAUUGGGAAUCCUAAUAAAACCACAAAAAUUACCAUUUUACAUUUUUUAUUAACUUAUAAUUUUUACUGAAUUCAAAAUACUGUAUAGGACAGUUUUAUUGCUGGCUUAGGUAACUGAAAAAAUUAUUAAUUUAAUUAUUUUUAUAAUUUGUAACCAAUACGGUAUGGCUUAUAUCUUCCCUUUUUCUUCAUGAAUUUAGGGACUUAGAAAAUAUUAUAUCCUGAUGGAUAUUUAAGUCCUAAGAAGGUAAAAAACACAGAUUGAUGUUGGCCCCUCUUCCACCUUUAUUCAUAGAAAUUCCAAGUGCCAAAAGCCUGCGCUGCUGGUUACCGAUCAUCAUACCUAAAUAUUGAUUCUUCUAAAACUUGUAUUUUGAGACUUUCCUCAUUUUAGAAUUACAGGUGGAGAGUCAUUUUUCUCUGAUACAAACUGUAUGCAAUAAAGAAGGAGGCAGUCCCACACAAUAAAUAUGUAGGGAAUGGUUUUCCACCUCUGCAUGCUACAGAAAAUCCCACUGAGUUAAGUAGGGUUCUACCAAGGCCACUUAAACAUAUUAGCCUAUUAUGCUCCACAUUUCUUUAUUGUUCUCAAAAAGCUAAUGAAAUGUUCCAGUGUAAUGUUUAUGCUGGAGUACUUUUAACGGCAUUUUAGAAGUGAUGUUUCUCUCAUAACUCCAGAAGGGGGUUCCACUUCCUAGAAGUAUUUAGUAGACCAUGCAGAGACCAUGCCGUCUCUUUACUCAGACUGUUUAGGUGCAUAGCUGGAGAAGAAAAUCCUUAAAGGUAAUCAGUUAAGAGUUUCAGUGUGGGUUUUAACAUCAUUGCAAGUGACAGGAAUCUAAAAAUCUGGCAAGUAUACAUGGCAUACUGUACUACUGAAUUAAGUAGGUUUAAAAUACUGUGCAUUGUCUAUUCAUACAUAACAUUGAGUUAUAUUGUCAAUCUACUGGUUCAAAGUAUCAGUGUAAAAUUAAAGAAUCAAUUGUUUUUCCAGAUUCAUUUAUUUUUAGAAAUAUAAGGAAAUAUAAUCAUCUAUCGCUGAAACUCAACCAGUUAUCUUCCUUGUUGGGGUGUCAGUUUCUUCAUCCGUUACGAUGAAAGAAUCAGACCUGUUGAUAUCUAUGAUCACUUCUGGUUCUAACAUUUGCUGCUUUAUGUUUCUAAAUAGCAACACUAUCGAAGAAUAGCAAGGUAGGCAAAGAACAAGGAACAAAAUUUAUUACGUACUAACUUUUUAGUAAAAUUAAAGGUAUAUAACUAUGCCUUGAGUCGCCAUAUACAAUGACUUCACCUACUAAACAUCACCAAUAAUAUGAAUGACAAGUUGAAUGUUAAGGUCAUCUGUGGUAAAAUUAAGGUUAAACCCAAGAUUAAUAAUAUAAAAAUGGAUCAAGAAAUGAAAGAAUUUUAAAUUUCUAUUGAACUAACAUGUGAUACAUCUUGACAAACAGUGAUUUCUUAUAAAAUAAUUAUCAGUUAAAACAACAACUUAGAUAGAUCUUAGAGUUUUUUUCUUUUUAUCUUCAAGAAAUCAUACUAUAAUAUUAAAAAAAAGUAUUUAACAGAGUUCAUAGCACUGACAUCUACUGGAUAAUCCUAAAAAUGUCCUGCUCUUUUUUUGAAAUGAGACACAAACUUUCAACACAAAUACUGCAAUUAAUUAAUGACAACUAUGUUCCACAUGCUUUAUUUGUAUUCACUCACGUAACCCUUCCAUCAAAACUGGAAAGUAAGUACUAUUAGAAAUCAGAACCAUAGGAGUUGCUGUCAGUAACGCUAGAAUAUCAAUGGGUACACCAGUUUUUUAGUGUGCAACAUUAACACAGUGUGGCACAGUGUUUUAAUAAAUAACUAUGACUCAGAUCAAAUGGUUAUGUUUUUUAUAUUCUUUCUAAUACUAACCAUGUAAGUAACUUAUUCUUCCAUACAUGAAAGUAAAAACAGAAGAUAUGCAAUUGGAAAGUAUACACUUUUUUUCUCACUAUAAUUGUGAAGACAUAUCCAUAAAUUAUUAGGGGCAUAAAAACCAGUAACCACUGAGAUGAAACUGUUUGAAAUUACUUUGCAAGCUUUUAAAGAAAUGAAUUUUUGUAGCAUAAUGAACAUUAAAAUGGGCACAAUGAACCUAUAUUAUAGUCCUGAAGCUGCCACCAUCAAAUUGUAUCAUCUUGGGCAAGGUACUAAACUAUUAGGUGAAUUAGUUUUAUUUUUUCCUAAAAUUGGGAGAUUUAGAUCUCAAAGAUUCCUUCCAAUUUGAUAGCAAGCUAUGUAUAAAGUUACUAAUGAUUUACUUUGUUCAUUUAUUAUGCAACAGUUACUAAUCUAAAUGAGUGUUAUACUCACAGCUUUAACUAAAUUACAGCAAAGAUCUGGCCGGCUUUAUAAUCAUCCCUCUAACUGCAGCUCUGAUAUAAUAAGGUGCUGUCUUGAAUACUGCAGAGUAUGUCAUUUUCAUUUCUGCUCAAGAUUUAAGUGAAAAUAUCUCUUUGCAGUAAUCAGAUAAUAUAACAUCUAAGAAAUGCCUAAAUACUAAGACUUAAUCUUCUUGACCUUUUUAUAAUUUUUGACCACCAUAUAAAAGUCAGUCUGCUAACCUUGACCUCUAAUAUUGCCAAGUCCUAAAAAAAGUUCUUAGAUGUAGUACCUGAGCCAAGAGUAAGAGGCAUGAAAAAGGUGAAGGGAAGGACAGAAGUAUUAUUAUUCAGAAACACAUGUCUUAUGCUUCCCACUAUUUCUUUAGUUAUAUUAGUUCUAGGAACUAUUUUAACACAUGACUAUAGAUAGAAGUCAUGUGUGGCAGGCUGGUAUUGUAAGUAAAAACAAAAAAAAUCAUGGGAACAACGGAAAUUUAGGUCCCAGUGUUUAAUCAUUUCUACCACUAGAAAUACUUGACAAGCAUACCACCUUCUGUGUGUUCUGGAAACUGUCUGAAGAUAAAGCCAGAUACCAGAAAUUCAGCCUCUAUAUUUUGGGCAUUAAAAGGUCAUUUGAAAAGGAGAGCCCAGGUCAAGAGCAAGCCCAUAGGCCUACUCUGGAAAUUUCACUAGAGGGUGCUCUUGGGCUUUUAUGAGUUGUCAAUUCUCCAAUAAGAAAACCAAGUAUCUCUUAGAAAAUACAUUCUGCCUUAGCAUAACUUGGACUUCAUCAUGGUACCCAUAGCCAAUAUUUCAACUCAGAUAUAAAGAUAUCUCAAGUAGACAUUGAGGCAAGUUCUUAUUUUCCUUUGUAACUGCCUUGUUUCUAUUGGUAGUACACGUGUAGGCUUCAUAAAUGUAGGUUUCACAAGGGGUCUCCAAAAGUCCACAUUCCAGUUAGAUAACUACAGAAACUUCCUGAGAUGUCAGAGUGAAAUUAAAUGUGGUUAACUGAUGGAGCUAUUUUUGCAAAUAUAUUUUUUAAACAUAUUUCAAUCUUGUAAUAGGUUCAUAAUUUAUAUACCUUCUGAAAGGAUUUUAAUUAUUCUGUAGGACCUGUAGAGGUAAUCUUACUGUCAAAUAGAUCAAUCUGAAGCAAUUAUUUAUAUUUAUUAUUCACAUUUACAAUGGCAUCAAAUAUUGAGAACUGAAUAAGUACUCAAUAAAUAUUUCUUGAUCAUUUUUGCAUAUAUAAAUUUCUGUACUAUGUUUGAUAGGAUGACAUAUGAUUAAAUCUUAAUCUCUCUGCUCCAUAUGUUAGAAUUCUUUUCCUAUACCAGUAGUUUCACCUUUCUUGAUAUAAUAUUACAUGGCUUAUUCUAGUUAUUUCUAAUCAUAGAUGCUUUCUAUAUGCUUCCAGUUUUUGCUAUGUUCUUAAGAGAAAAUGGACAUGGCAAUUGUCUUGUUAAACUUUUUAAUGUUAGUUUUUAUUUAUUAGAAAGAUUGAGCAGGCUUUUUGGCUACACAUUAAAAAACUAGCAAUGACAUAUAACCAUACAUAGCAAUCUUCUUGAGAAUAAAAAUGAAAGGCUACAAUUCUUUUUCACAUUCAUAAUGUAAAAUUUUUCUGAACCACUGAUGUCCACUGGCCACUAUGGCUGAUACCAUGUUGACCUUAUCAUCACACAUGUUGCAAUCUUGAUGGCUUUAGCAUCUUUAGGGUUGAUAGGAUAAUUCUGAAAGUGAUUAUGGACAUACUAAGGUUUUGUCUGCAUUUCCAAUUUGGUUAAAUUUGAAGUUUCAUUAUUCCCUAAUUGAAUCAAGCUUAAUUAUCUUGAAGUUUCUCUCAAAAAUAAUCUUGAACCUUCUAACAAAUAAAUUCUGGGCUAAACAGUAUUCCUUUAGAAUGCAUACUUUUUUAAAAAAAUGUAUUUUAAUUUCUCAUUUGAUAAAAGACAAGCUAGUUUCACUUGUGAACUCUGGUUCUUUUCAUCCACUGACAUAGACUGCAGCCAGCACUGAAAGGUUGGGAAAUUUUGAAGUGGAUUCAAAGCUCUUAUGGUCACCUGAGCCCUUAAGGGCUCCUCUUUGAGAAGCACCAGAGAGUUUAAUCAUAUACAUCUGAUGCAUGCUAUCUCCCCAUUCAACUUGCAGAGUCAACCAGCAUAUAUUCAAAGUGUACCUUAUCCAAGUUUGUUGGAAAUAAGCUUAAGUAAAUCUGUCAAGAUUGGCAAAAGCUGGUUCUUUGAAAAGAUCAACAAAAUUUGAGUUCCCAUCGUGGCUCAGUGGUUAACGAAUCCAACUAGGAACCAUGAGGUUGCGGAUUCGAUCCCUGGCAUUGCUCAGUGGGUUAAGGAUCCGGCGUUGCUGUGAGCUGUGCUGUAGGUUGCAGAUGCGGCUCAGAUCCUGCGUUGCUGUGGCUCUGGCGUAGGCUGGCAGCUACAGCUCCCAUUGAAUCCCUAGCCUGGGAACCUCCAUAUGCUGCGGGAGUGACCCAAGAAAUGGCAAAAAGACAAAAAAAAGAAAGAAAGAAAACCUCUUAACUAUUCAUAAGUCUAUGUUUAACCUGAUUAUUUUAUACAUUAGGACACAGAAAAAAUAAGUACUUCCUAUCCCAUGGCAGUACAUAACAGGUCUUAUUCAGAGUUCUUAACCCAAUGUUCUUUCUGUUUCACAACUUUCCAUUGCUGUUUGUUUUUUCCUGAAGGACCAAUGCAUUAUAUCAUAAGUUCAUGAUGACUUCCACUAAAAUUUCAGGGAAAGAAAAGAGAUAUAAAGAAAAAUACUCUUAAGCAUCCAACUCUUCAAUUCAGGUAAACUUCUUAUGUGCAAUGGUCUAAUGGUGAACUGACUUAGAUGAACUGGCAUGCUCAUUAAAAAAUGUAUGCAUCACACAGUACGAUUAAUGUUCUAACUGACUAGAGUGACCUUGUAUGUUCCCGCGGUUACCCAGCCUAUGUCAUCCUGAAUAAGAUGCACCCUGUAUUUCUCUGAAAGUCAGCCCAGCAUGAAAAUACUGCCUACUUUGUAGGAAUAAGAGUGCAGGUGUACUCUUUGCUUUAAGAAGAUACAAUAAGCCAAAUUCUGAAAUUACCAAACAGAUAAAUUAGGGGGUGAUUAUUCACAUUAUAAAAGGAUUCACCACAGGAUGCUUUUAAAUCAUAAGCUGCUCUACUGAAUUUUAAAUAAGUUGAUUUACAAAGCUUCCUUUAUAAGUACUUUUCACAAUCUAGAGUCCAUGGUGACCUCAUCCAAAGGCAGUGAGAGAUUGGUGAACAUAAAAAGUCCUACCACUUACUACUUGCUAGGCCAAGAUUCUUUAUCCAUAUGAAAGAGUAAUUAGUACCAUAAUUCAUUUUUGAAAAAUUAAUGAAUCUUUCACUCCUGAAAAAAUUAACAUCUUCUGAGUACUUACUGUGUGCCUGGCACAGUGCUGAGCAUUUUACAUAAUAAUCACAUUUACUCCUCCUCACCACAACUCUGGAAGAUUAAUACAAUUAUCCCAAUUACAGAUGAGGAAAUUGGGACUCAGAGAAGAUGGAGUUAAGUAACUUGACUAAGUUUAUGCAGCUAACAAAUAAAUGAUGGUGCCAGAAUUCAGAGCCAGAUCCAUCCAAAGCUCUUGCCCUUGCAUGCCUUACAGUACUAUUUCAGAUAAAAUUAAUGGUGUCUGUUACCUCUCACCUAACUGAGCAUAGCUGUACUCUAAUGUACUAUUUCAGUGGAGCAAUUCUGUCUACUGAAACAGAGACCAGCCAUACAAUCUGUUUACACAGAGACAAGGAACUCACCGAUGAGGCUGCCUAUUCUGAUUACUGCACUGCUAUAUUAAGCCAGAACCUAUCUCCUUAUAAUUCCCAUAUAUUAGUCCUAGCUUUGCUCUAGAGCUGUUGAAAAUGACCAUAACCUCAUUUCAUCAUAGCUAUCAUAUUUCCCUCAUGGUUUUUUCUUUGCAAGGUGAAAUUCUCCAGUUCUC
rnacentral:lncRNA from 1 species